rnacentral:rRNA from 1 species
GAUGAACGCUGGCGGCGUGCUUAACACAUGCAAGUCGAACGAUGAAGCAGGAGCUUGCUCUUGUGGAUCAGUGGCGAACGGGUGAGUAACACGUGAGCAACCUGCCCCUGACUCUGGGAUAAGCGCUGGAAGCGGCGUCUAAUACUGGAUAUGUGAUGUGACCGCAUGGUCUGCAUCUGGAAAGAAUUUCGGUUGGGGAUGGGCUCGCGGCCUAUCAGCUUGUUGGUGAGGUAAUGGCUCACCAAGGCGUCAACGGGUAGCCGGCCUGAGAGGGUGACCGGCCACACUGGGACUGAGACACGGCCCAGACUCCUACGGGAGGCAGCAGUGGGGAAUAUUGCACAAUGGGCGGAAGCCUGAUGCAGCAACGCCGCGUGAGGGAUGACGGCCUUCGGGUUGUAAACCUCUUUUAGCAGGGAAGAAGCGAAAGUGACGGUACCUGCAGAAAAAGCACCGGCUAACUACGUGCCAGCCGCCGCAGUAA